rnacentral:rRNA from 1 species
UACGUAGGGUGCAAGCGUUGUCCGGAAUUAUUGGGCGUAAAGAGCUCGUAGGCGGUUUGUCGCGUCUGCCGUGAAAGUCCGGGGCUCAACUCCGGAUCUGCGGUGGGUACGGGCAGACUAGAGUGAUGUAGGGGAGACUGGAAUUCCUGGUGUAGCGGUGAAAUGCGCAGAUAUCAGGAGGAACACCGAUGGCGAAGGCAGGUCUCUGGGCAUUAACUGACGCUGAGGAGCGAAAGUAUGGGGAGCGAACAGG